rnacentral:misc_RNA from 1 species
GAACUGCGAUACGCAGUGUGAAUUGCAGACUUCAGAGAAUCACUAGAUUACUGAACGCAAAUGGCACUCAGACUAACAAUCUGAGUAUGUUCAUUUCAGUGGCCCUGACUAUUGUUGCCUGUUCAUACUGAAUGAGCAACGUGAGUGGAUGUUAUGUUCAUACAUGACAUCAUAAGUUUCGCACAGAUUUGUUCUUAUGAGGAAAAGGGAACCCUCAUAUCCUUUAUAAGAAUUGUUCUGUGACUCUUUACACUGGUCCUGAAAUUGAGCAAGAUUACCCGCCGAACUUAA